rnacentral:rRNA from 1 species
GAUGAACGCUGGCGGCGUGCUUAACACAUGCAAGUCGAACGGAAAGGCCCCUUUGGGGGUACUCGAGUGGCGAACGGGUGAGUAACACGUGAGUAACCUGCCCUUGACUUCGGGAUAACUUCAGGAAACUGGGGCUAAUACCGGAUAGGAAUCCUUGCUGCAUGGUGGGGGUUGGAAAGCUUCGGCGGUUUUGGAUGGACUCGCGGCUUAUCAGCUUGUUGGUGGGGUAGUGGCUUACCAAGGCUUUGACGGGUAGCCGGCCUGAGAGGGCGACCGGCCACAUUGGGACUGAGAUACGGCCCAGACUCCUACGGGAGGCAGCAGUGGGGAAUAUUGCACAAUGGGCGGAAGCCUGAUGCAGCAACGCCGCGUGCGGGAUAACGGCCUUCGGGUUGUAAACCGCUUUCAGCAGGGGCGAAGCUUGUGGUGACGGUACCUGCAGAAGAAGCACCGGCUAACUACGUG